UACGGAGGGGGCUAGCGUUGUUCGGAAUUACUGGGCGUAAAGCGCACGUAGGCGGCUUUGUAAGUUAGAGGUGAAAGCCCGGGGCUCAACCCCGGAAUUGCCUUUAAGACUGCAUCGCUAGAAUUGUGGAGAGGUAAGUGGAAUUCCGAGUGUAGAGGUGAAAUUCGUAGAUAUUCGGAAGAACACCAGUGGCGAAGGCGACUU
rnacentral:rRNA from 1 species